rnacentral:rRNA from 1 species
AUAGCUACAAAACCUUGCCAGCCACACCCUCAAGGGAACCCAGCAGUGAUAGACAUUAAGCCAAUAAGUGAAAACCUGACUUAGUUAUGGUUAAAAGGGCCGGUAAAACUCGUGCCAGCUACCGCGGUUAUACGAGAGGCCCAAGUUGACAGGCUCCGGCGUAAAGCGUGGUUAAGGGAUAAUAAACACUAAAGCUAAACGCUUACUAGGCUGUUAUACGCUCCCGAAAGUAAGAAAAUCGUCUACGAAAGUGGCUUUACCUUGCCUGAACCCACGAAAGCCAAGGCACAAACUGGGAUUAGAUACCCCAUUAUGCUUUGCCCUAAACAUUGAUAGUUUUUUACAACCACUAUCCGCCCGGGAACUACGAGCAGCAGCUUAAAACCCAAAGGACUUGGCGGUGCUUUAGACCCACCUAGAGGAGCCUGUCUAAAAACCGA